UAGGGAAUCUUCGGCAAUGGGGGGAACCCUGACCGAGCAACGCCGCGUGAGUGAAGGAGGUUUUCGGAUCGUAAAGCUCUGUUGUUAAGGAAGAACGAGUGUGAGAAUGGAAAGUUCAUACUGUGACGGUACUUAACCAGAAAGGGACGGCUAACUACGUGCCAGCAGCCGCGGUAAUACGUAGGUCCCGAGCGUUGUCCGGAUUUAUUGGGCGUAAAGCGAGCGCAGGCGGUUAGAUAAGUCUGAAGUUAAAGGCAGUGGCUCAACCAUUGUAGGCUUUGGAAACUGUUUAACUUGAGUGCAGAAGGGGAGAGUGGAAUUCCAUGUGUAGCGGUGGAAUGCGUAGAUAUAUGGAGGAACACCGGUGGCGAAAGCGGCUCUCUGGUCUGUAACUGACGCUGAGGCUCGAAAGCGUGGGGAGCGAACAGG
rnacentral:rRNA from 1 species